rnacentral:rRNA from 1 species
CCGGCGGCGUGCUUAACACAUGCAAGUCGAACGAUGAUGCCCACUUGUGGGUGGAUUAGUGGCGAACGGGUGAGUAACACGUGAGUAACCUGCCCUUGACUCUGGGAUAAGCCUGGGAAACUGGGUCUAAUACCGGAUAUGACCUUCCAUCGCAUGGUGGUUGGUGGAAAGCUUUUGUGGUUUUGGAUGGACUCGCGGCCUAUCAGCUUGUUGGUGGGGUAAUGGCCUACCAAGGCGACGACGGGUAGCCGGCCUGAGAGGGUGACCGGCCACACUGGGACUGAGACACGGCCCAGACUCCUACGGGAGGCAGCAGUGGGGAAUAUUGCACAAUGGGCGCAAGCCUGAUGCAGCGACGCCGCGUGAGGGAUGACGGCCUUCGGGUUGUAAACCUCUUUCAGUAGGGAAGAAGCGUAAGUGACGGUACCUGCAGAAGAAGCGCCGGCUAACUACGUGCCAGCAGCCGCGGUAAUACGUAGGGCGCAAGCGUUAUCCGGAAUUAUUGGGCGUAAAGAGCUCGUAGGCGGUUUGUCGCGUCUGCCGUGAAAGUCCGGGGCUCAACUCCGGAUCUGCGGUGGGUACGGGCAGACUAGAGUGAUGUAGGGGAGACUGGAAUUCCUGGUGUAGCGGUGAAAUGCGCAGAUAUCAGGAGGAACACCGAUGG